rnacentral:rRNA from 1 species
AGCGAACGCUGGCGGCAGGCCUAACACAUGCGAGUCGAACGAACUCUUCGGAGUUAGUGGCGGACGGGUGAGUAACACGUGGGAACGUGCCUUUUGGUUCGGAAUAACUCAGGGAAACUUGUGCUAAUACCGAAUGUGCCCUUCGGGGGAAAGAUUUAUCGCCAUUAGAGCGGCCCGCGUCUGAUUAGCUAGUUGGUGAGGUAACGGCUCACCAAGGCGACGAUCAGUAGCUGGUCUGAGAGGAUGACCAGCCACACUGGGACUGAGACACGGCCCAGACUCCUACGGGAGGCAGCAGUGGGGAAUCUUGCGCAAUGGGCGAAAGCCUGACGCAGCCAUGCCGCGUGAAUGAUGAAGGUCUUAGGAUUGUAAAAUUCUUUAACCGGGGACGAUAAUGACGGUACCCGGAGAAGAAGCCCCGGCUAACUUCGUG